rnacentral:sRNA from 1 species
GCCGGGUGUGGUGGUGUGCACUUGUAAUCCCAGCUACUUGGGAGGCUGAGGCAGGAGAAUCACUUGAGCCUGGGAGGUGGAGGUUGCAGUGAGUCGAGAUUGCGCCACUGCACUCCAGCCUGGGCGACAGAGUGAGACUCCGUCUCAA